GAAGGUUUGUGAGAUAAAGAAGCAUCUGAAGAGGCUCAGCAACCGCAUCAGCACCUGCAGUGUGGAGACGAUGGAGUGCCAGGACUGCCUGCAGAGCGUAGGUGCCCGCGCGGGGUCCUGCCGGGAUGCUGCUGCCCACCCUCUCCCUGCUUCCCCCUAACGCUGCUGCUCCCCUUCCCAGCGCCCACCCUGUGCGUCUGGAGCAGGGAAACACCAGAGGAUCUGUGAACAGCUUGCUGCAGCUCUCUGUGGGUGAUCCACACUGGAGAGCUUGCUUCCCCCCACUGCGUGGGCAAGGAAUGGAUAAAGCCCCGGCAGUGACAUCCCUGGUCUGGGGUGGGGGCCCCGGGGGGAUCGGUACCCAGUAAACAGGAACAGCAGCAGUAGAAAAAUGAUGCUUCACCUCCAGCUCUCAGGAUGGGUUACCUGACAAGCCACCUGGUAGAUGCUCUGGUCCUCUGGUUAUUUUAUUUCGUUUGUCCCGAAGUGGAUGUGCUGGCUGUGGCUAUGUAGGCAUCAUUUCCCCAAGUUUUGUCCUGGGGGGAGCAGGCACUGCAGCACCGGGGGGCACAGCACCGCAGAGAGCCCGCUGCCUGCCAGGGGCUGCCACGUCUCUCCCUCUGCAGGCUCUGGACAGGUUUCUCCAGACAGAGAAACGGAGCUUGGCCCCGGUUCCUCCUGCACCUUUGCCCGUCCGUCUGAGCCAGGCACGCCAGGAGAUGGCCUUUCGGAUGCAGGAGCUCCUGGAGCAGAUGAGGUCAGUAACUUGUGAUCUCCAGUUCAACAACAGCAUCAUCGAGAGGUUGAGUGGGGCUGCCCCCACUCCUGGCAUUUGAGAGAUGGUGAAUUUGCAGCUGCUGAAGCAAACUGCUUCCCCCAGCAGGGAACACGUACGGCACUUCGGGGCCAGAGCGACGGAGGCGUUUGAUAUUCGUGCUGGAGGAGCUCUCUGUGUCCUACCUCUCGCUCCAGCACUUUUGCACAGUUCACCAGCAUUACACCAGCAUUAGCUUUGAGUGGCUUGCAAGCCUUGAGCCUUCAAAAGUGUGACCAGAAAAUUGGGUGGGUUUUGGUUUUUUUUUUUUUUCUUUUAAAAUGUACUUGAAGGACUUGUUUUUCUAGCUUCUCUGUAUCACCACGUCGGAUGAUGAAGAGGCUAGUCCGAUAAAUUAGGCCCUCUUACUCCUUUAGGGAUUACUCCCACUUUUAACGUACGCCUGCUCCCUGAGGCUUUGUGGAGCGGGGCAGGGGUCCAGGGCAGGAGGGAUGCUGUGCCCGAUGGAUGAGAGACCGGAUCCAGCACAGAAUGGCUCCAGUGCUCUGCCCAGAGGUGAGAGCCCAGGGAAGACAAAAGCCGCAGACCUCUGCCCACGGGCACUGCAGCCUCCCCUCCUGCUUCAGGGCUUCACCUCCAGCCCAGCACCGUGUCUGGGCUGCUCAGGGGUAUUGGAAUGGGAAGCCAAGGGAAGCUUCUCUUUUUUUGGUAUGUUUCUAUAAAUGCAACUGAGUUCUGUGUUUAUGCACGUGGGGGUGUGUGCCUUCUCCAAACAAGCCUGAACUGAAACUGUGGCUCCAGCCACCGAACCCGGGGAUGCUGCUGAAUGCCAAGGCAAAAUUGCAGAUGAAAGGGCACCCAUGAACGUUCUCC
ensembl:lncRNA